CCUACGGGAGGCAGCAGUGAGGAAUAUUGGUCAAUGGCCGUAAGGCUGAACCAGCCAAGUAGCGUGAGGGAAGACUGCCCUAUGGGUUGUAAACCUCUUUUAUGCGGGGAUAAAGGCGUCCACGUGUGGCUGUUUGCAGGUACCGCAUGAAUAAGGACCGGCUAAUUCCGUGCCAGCAGCCGCGGUAAUACGGAAGGUCCGGGCGUUAUCCGGAUUUAUUGGGUUUAAAGGGAGCGUAGGCCGGUCUUUAAGCGUGCCGUGAAAUUUUGUGGCUCAACCAUGGGAGUGCGGCGCGAACUGGAGACCUUGAGAGCGCGGAAGGCAGGCGGAAUUCGUGGUGUAGCGGUGAAAUGCUUAGAUAUCACGAAGAACCCCGAUUGCGAAGGCAGCCUGCCGCAGCGGUACUGACGCUGAGGCUCGAAAGCGCGGGUAUCGAACAGGAUUAGAUACCCGAGUAGUC
rnacentral:rRNA from 1 species